GACGAACGCUGGCGGCGGGCUUAACACAUGCAAGUCGAACGGUAAGGCCCUUCGGGGGUACACGAGUGGCGAACGGGUGAGUAACACGUGGGUGAUCUGCCCUGCACUUCGGGAUAAGCCUGGGAAACUGGGUCUAAUACCGGAUAGAACCACUGCCUGCAUGGGUGGUGGUGGAAAGCUUUUGCGGUGUGGGAUGGGCCCGCGGCCUAUCAGCUUGUUGGUGGGGUGAUGGCCUACCAAGGCGACGACGGGUAGCCGGGCCUGAGAGGGUGACCGGCCACACUGGGACUGAGAUACGGCCCAGACUCCUACGGGAGGCAGCAGUGGGGAAUAUUGCACAAUGGGCGCAAGCCUGAUGCAGCGACGCCGCGUGAGGGAUGACGGCCUUCGGGUUGUAAACCUCUUUCAGCACCGACGAAGCGCAAGUGACGGUAGGUGCAGAAGAAGGACCGGCCAACUACGUGCCAGCAGCCGCAGUAA
rnacentral:rRNA from 1 species